GAAAUUGUAAUUCCGGUGAAGAUGCCGGAUACCUGCGACAGGACGGAAAGACCCCAUGGAGCUUUACUGUAGCUUGACAUUGGGUCUUGGUACUACAUGUACAGGAUAGGUGGGAGGCUUUGAAACCAGGACGCCAGUUUUGGCGGAGCCAUCCUUGGGAUACCACCCUUGUAGUACUGGGACUCUAACCAUAGGCCAUGAAUCUGGUCUUGGGACACUGUCAGGUGGGCAGUU
rnacentral:rRNA from 1 species